CAUGCAAGUCGAACGGAAAGGCCCUUUCGGGGGUACACGAGUGGCGAACGGGUGAGUAACACGUGGGUGAUCUGCCCUGCACUUUGGGAUAAGCCUGGGAAACUGGGUCUAAUACCGGAUAGGACUACGCGAUGCAUGUCGUGUGGUGGAAAGCUUUUGCGGUGUGGGAUGGGCCCGCGGCCUAUCAGCUUGUUGGUGGGGUGAUGGCCUACCAAGGCGACGACGGGUAGCCGGCCUGAGAGGGUGUCCGGCCACACUGGGACUGAGAUACGGCCCAGACUCCUACGGGAGGCAGCAGUGGGGAAUAUUGCACAAUGGGCGCAAGCCUGAUGCAGCGACGCCGCGUGAGGGAUGACGGCCUUCGGGUUGUAAACCUCUUUCAACGCCGACGAAGCGGAAGUGACGGUAGGCGUAGAAGAAGCACCGGCCAACUACGUGCCAGCAGCCGCGGUAAUACGUAGGGUGCGAGCGUUGUCCGGAAUUACUGGGCGUAAAGAGCUCGUAGGUGGUUUGUCGCGUUGUUCGUGAAAACUCACA
rnacentral:rRNA from 1 species